UUAUUUUGUCCCAUUCUUCCUACAAACACGUCUUAAGGUGUCCAACAGAAUGGAGUCCUUGUCGUAGCAUUUUUUGUUCCAAACUUCUGCUCACAUUCUCUGUUGGGGAUGGGUCAGGACUGCAGACAGGUCAGUCCAGUAUCCGUCCCCUCUUCUUCUGCAGCCAUGUCUUUUAAUGUGUGCAGAAUCGCAGAAGUGUGUAUUUGCCA